rnacentral:lncRNA from 1 species
GGAAAGGGGACCGGUGUUUCUGGAGAGAAGCAGGUUGGAGACAGGUGUGAGAGAUCUGAAGGUUUCUUCCUAAAGGUGUGGUGGUGACAAGCUGCAGGGACAGGUAUCAAAAGUGAACAUAGCAGAGAAUGGGGCAGAGGUGUGCAGUGGGUUCCCAAUGCUUGCAAAAGGUGCAAAGGGACUCCGGUCACAUGGAUGUUUGGGGGGAGGAAAAGGAGAGAGGUGGCUGGAGUGUGGGGAACCAGGUGCAUGUCUGUGGGACAGGGCUGUUUUCAGGAGGUGACCCCUAGACCCAGCUGAAGAGAUGUGAAGCAAAGAGAGAUUAAGUGGGGGUAUGCAUAGUGGGUGUCGAAGCCUCGGUAUCUGUUUGCUGAUUAAAUGAUUUGAAUGUGUUACCAGGGCAGAGGAUUCCCUGGGAUAAACAGGUGAGGAAUGGCAGGUGCAGGGGGUUACUGGUGUGACCUUGUGCAGCAAGAGAGAGAGAGAAACAUGGGAAAUUAGGUAUGUGGGAAAGAAGAGAAGUGGAUAGAGAGUACCUGAGGGACAGGUGUGGGAAAACAGGUAUACAGGUGACGCAGAUACCUGUGGCCAAGGACAGACUCCUGCCCCAAACGUGUGUGUGUAAAGUAAUGUUGUGUAUAGUGAGAGACAGUGAGAGACCAGGAGAGGCAAAGACAGUGCAAGAAGGAGUGAGACACAGGUGAGCAAGUGUACAAGGGACCGGGAAACUCUGAGGGGACAAGAGCUUGGAGGAAGGCAUAAUGGCAGGGAAAGCCAUGAGGAGGGUACUAGUGUGUGGAUUGGUGAUCAGGUGGUGCUUGGGGUUAGGACACAGGUGGGGAAGGUGCUUCUGUUGUCUGUGAUGAGUAACCCGAAAUGACAAGUAGGAAAGACAGGUACGGGGGAAUCCUUGGAAGUCAGUGUACCUUGGAAGUCAGGUACAGGUAGAGAGGGAUGUGAGCGACAGGUGUGCUCUUAGGUGACCUGUGUGUGGCCAGCUCUUCUGGAAGGGCAGGUGUUGGGGUGGUUAAGGAGGUGCAACACUGUCACGGAG